GGGCCUAAAAACUUCAAAGGGAAUUGACGGGGCCCGCACAAGCAGCGGAGCGUUGGUUUAAUUCGAGGCACGCGAAGACCUUACCAGGGUUGGACAUGCUGGUGGCUAGGGAGGUGAAAGCCGACCGACUCUUCGGAGAGCCAGCACAGGUGCUGCAUGGCUGUCGUCAGCUCGUGCCGUGAGGUGUUAGGUUAAGUCCUGUAACGAGCGCAACCCACGUCGUUAGUUACAAGUGUCUAGCGAGACUGCCGGUGAUAAGCUCGGAGGAAGGUGUGGAUGACGUCAAGUCAGCAUGGCCUUUAUAUCCUGGGCUACACACACGCUACAAUGGCCGGUACAAUGGGUCGCCAAGCCGCGAGGCGGAGCCAAUCCCGCAAAGCCGGUCACAGUUCGGAUUGCAGGCUGCAACUCGCCUGCAUGAAGUCGGAGUUGCUAGUAACCGCAGGUCAGCAACACUGCGGUGAAUACGUUCCCGGGCCUUGUACACGCCGCCCGUCACGUCAUGGAAGCUGGCAACGCCUGAAGUCGGUGGGUGAACCCGCAAGGGACACAGCCGCCUAAGGCGGGUUGGUGACUGGGACGAAGUGUACAAUAACGC
rnacentral:rRNA from 1 species